UUCCGGUUGAUCCUGCCGGAGGCCAUUGCUAUCGGGGUCCGAUUUAGCCAUGCUAGUCGCACGGGUUCAGACCCGUGGCGAAAAGCUCAGUGACACGUGGCCAAACUACCCUGUGGAUCGGGACAACCUCGGGAAACUGAGGCUAAUCCCGAAUAGGGCUCACAGCCUGGAGUGGCGUGAGUCCGAAACGCUCCAGCGCCACAGGAUGUGGCUGCGGCCGAUUAGGUUGACGGUGGGGUAACGGCCCACCGUGCCCAUAAUCGGUACNAGUUGUGAGAGCAAGAGCCCGGAGACGGUAUCUGAGACAAGAUACCGAGUCAUAUGGGGCGUAGCAGGCGCGAAACCUUUACACUGCGCGAGAGCGAGAUAAGUGGACCACGAGUGCGAGGGCAUAUAGUCCUCGCUCUUCUGGACUGUAGGGAGGUCCAAGAAUAAGGGCUGGUCAAGACCGGUGCCAGCCGCCGCGGUAAUACCGGCAGCCCGAGUGAUGNCCGAUUUUA
rnacentral:rRNA from 1 species